UCCGCCGAGGCGGGCCGGGCGGGGCCGCAGCAGGCCCCGCGGGCACCCGCACGGCGCGACCCGGCCUGGCCCGGCCGCCUCCGGGGCACGCCAGGUGCCAGCACCUCUCGGCGCCUCCGAGCCUGCUGGCGGUGGAUUCGGGGAGCGGCGGCCCUCGUAAGGGCGCUCCUGGCAGUACGCUGCCGGUCGGGGCGUCCCGCUGGCGCUGGACCGAUCCCCGCGCACCGCAGCUACACGGCUGGGCGCGGGGGGCGGGGGCAGGGCCCCAUGGACGAGCCCGGUGGGCUCUCGGGGCUGCCGGGCUGGGCGCUGGUCCCGAGGGCUGGCGUCGGGGGGCGCGCCUGCCGCCUCGAGCUGAGGCCGCAGCAGUCGCGGUGCGGCCGAUUCCUGAAGGAGAAGCGAGCCGACGUUUGUGCGGGGUUGGUCACGGCAUGGUUUUAAAAUGCCAUGUGGAAUGUUGCAUGUCAAAAGCUUUCGUGUCUGGCUUUGCGGAGUUUGGCAAAGUGUCUCAAAGUUCCCCUCCUGAUGCAGUUCGCUGCAGCCAUACACAACCGGUCAUUAGCCAAAUCUUUAUUGCCCCCAGAGUGUCCUCUGUUGUUCUAACACUUGCUCUUUGCAAGUGUUCGCUGUCCCUAAUGUUUAAUCUUUUUAAAGGAGUAGCUUGUGAGCAUUAUACAUAUUUCUCUCAUAAUGACUGAAGCUAGGCAAGAAGUCAAAACUUAAUACGCCUGUGAGUUCAUGCCAGCACUUCCUGGACUCAUGCCUUGAGUGCAGAACAUGAAGAAGCACUACAAAUGGCUCCGUUCCCAAUUCAAAUAAAGCAUUAUUCAGGCUCAUAUUCCAGGAAUCUUUUGUUUUUCACCACUCACCAGGAAUAUCAAUGGAACUGUUUGUUCUAGCAGUUAUUGCUGGCUACUAUGAAGCUUCUGAAACAGCAAGAAAUUGUUUGUCUUGGUAGUCAUUUAUGACUAAUUGCUCAGAUUGACAUCUAAAACAGGCAGUUAGUAAAUAAUACAUCCACAGCAAACAGAAGCAAUCCACCUUGAUUUAUUGCCGAGGUCUAACUGAAAGGUGAUGAUACAUCUCCCUCAGACGACAAAGUCUGAAAUUGCAAAUAUUCAUUCUCUUGAAACUGCUUCUGCUUUGUGAUGUAGUGCAUGGAGCUGCUAGAUGGUAUGGCUUUUGGGGAGCAAGAGAUAACGAGGAGUGGACAGCAUACUGGACAGGCUAUACCAUCUCAACAGAUUGGUUAAUGGAAAUGAAAAAUCAAGUCUAAUCAAGUCUUUAUGAAUGUGAGCUGGAUAGUGUGUUUUUUGUAUGUAUAAUGGUCCCUUUCUGACUGUAAAAAAAAAAAACACGAUCAAGAUACAGUUAUGACAAUUUGCAGCCCAAUAGCAUAGCAAGGAGACACAGACUUAUAUCUGCAAACUGGACUUUGGCUGUCACUGGAGAAGCAUCUUCAUCAACAAAACUGAGAAGGACAAAACCUGGGCAGGAUAGGAUCUGCCAGGUCUACAUCUCAAGGAUAAUGUUUGCUUGCGUCUGACAAAUUAUUCCAUUAACAAGAACAGUGUUAAUUCUGCUAAAGAAGAAGACACUGGUGGUAAGAAGUAAAAAGGAGAAAACAUUUCUAAGCUACUCUCGGAGAGAGUAUUAUUUACUUUUUCUGGUACAUCUUCAUAUGCUUGAUUUAGGUCUUCAAAGUAUUUCUUUGUGUUUCCCCAAUGCAGCAUAUUUUUUGCUGUUGAAUUAAUCAAGUGAAGAAACUCAGAAGAGUUACAGAAUUGGACACCGAAAGCAGGGAGGAAAACUUUGCAAAGGGGAGUUAGGACUCAGGCUUGACAGCAACACUGGAUUUGUUUCAGUUUUUCUCUUGAGACUAAAUGCUUACCUAGCUAUACGGAUUUGUCUAAUGAGAUAUUGCUACUCGUUCCAAACUUUGCUUGUAAUCCUAGAUCAUUGUGCUGCAACAGCUCUACAUCUUCACAUCUUCGGUGUAUUUAUUAUCAUUGUUUGCUGUGAUAGGCAGUUUUACAUUAGUUUACCUAGACAUAAUAUUUUUCCUGUUGCACACAUUUCUCUUGAAAUGUUCCUUCUGUUUCCUUCUUUCUAAAUACUGAGAUCCCUUGCAUCUGUCUAGUUCUGCUUAACAUCUCAUCCCUUGCUAGUAAAAUUUAAAUGUUAUCUGUUCAUAGCAGCAAAACUCUUAACAGUACUAGCUUCUCAGCUGCAGUGCUGCGAUUUUGUGAGGCUUAACAGUUGUAAGACAAUCCAGGAGUAUAGGUUUCUUCUUUCCAUUUGCCUUAGAAUUAUAGUCUUAGAAUAUCCCAAGUUCGAAGGGACCCACAAAGAUCAUUGAGUCCAACUCAGUGCUUCCCAAAAGUCUUUUCUGCACUAGGAAACAAGAUUGCUGUAACUCAGUAAUAGUUUGUGCAAUGGAAGUUUCAAGGCAUGAAUGCGGUUUUAGUGGUAUAAAGAAGCUGUAUACAGAUUGAUCUAUUGCAAUAUUGGGGUAGGAAUACACCAGUUCAGUUGUAUUUGUGUUAGCAAAGUUUCCAGUGUUUCACCAUUUCUAGGAUACUGUCCACUUUUAAUAACUCUAUGCAGAAAUGUGGCUGUGAUACCUACCAGAUGUGGCCAGAUAUUAGCGGAUACUAUUGUUAAAACAUUGAGAUCAGCACAUUCUAUUAUGAAACAUAACUAUCACAUCUGCCUCCCUAAUUACGUUGGGGUAGUGGUCUAUUUGAAAUACAGAGGUUUGAUGUUGUCUUGAUUCAAAAAUUCAAGCUCUAAUUGCUUGAGGUGAGAACCCUGAUAAAAGUGUCUACUUGCUCCUGAAAUAUGUUCACGUAUUAACUGGUCUCUUUUUCAGCCUGUUGGUUGCUGUCAUCAGACUCUGUUUUAACACCAGUUUCGAAUUGUUUUGGUUAUCCUCUGUAGGAUCUCCUGCAGAGUUCCCAGAGAAGAAUGGCUCAUGGGUGACCGGCAGGGGGGGAUAGACUACACUGAAUCAGUGUGAAAACAGCUUGAAUUGUGCUCCAGGACACAUGCAUAGAACAUUUCUUGCCUGCAGGAGUCCUCACCGUUGUGGACAGCUUCACUCAAGUUCUUUGCAUACAGAAGUAUUUCAGAGUUAGCCAUUACCCAAUGUGGAAUUUACCUGCUAAUGGAGGGUGUAGCCUGUGGUUCUCAGAUGACAGUAAGUUAAUACCAGUUCCUCCUCUUCUACACCUAGCAAAUACUAGAUUGGCAUCAACUCUACAUUCAAUCUCAGGCCAUAAUUUCAAACUGAGUGUGUCACUUGGUAGUUCCCACUUUGCCAUAUAUAAAACAAACAAACAAACAAAACCAGAUGGUUUCACUGCUUUUUUUUGUUGUUGAUUUGAGGAAUGUAAAGAACAUGCUGGAUAAGAAGGCAUCUUUUUCAGCUCGAGUGACUUGUUCAAAAGUCCUUGGUGAAACCAACAGAAAAACUACAGUUUUCCUGUUACCUCAGACCUGUAGACACAGGGACAGACAAGCAUAGUACAUCCCCCAACGUGGCUCCACGCAACUGUCACCUAUAAAAUAUCUAACUUUAUAAUACAAUAUACCUACCGUGUUCUUGGUAAACUUCAAACUACAUAUGAAUUUAAUUUGUAUGCUGUUUGAGACAGGCACAUGAGGAAGUCAGAUUAGCAAGUGAAAAACACUCAGAGGACUAUAUUCACAGUGUUUUGUUUUGUUGUGUUUUGUUUUGUUUUUCCUGCUCCUCUAAAACAUUAAUCUCCUUAUGAAAAUGCUAAAUGGCUUGUGACAGCAGCAUACUAGUUAUUUGAUGCAAAAAAUGGUAUUGUGUGCGCUAAGUUACAAACAGUGGAAGCCACAAAUAAAUUUGAAGACAAAAAAGAGAGGAGAAGGAGAAACUAUGUGGUAAUAUCUAUCUGGCCAAGAACUAACACCUUCCAGAAGUAUUCUUCAAAUAAUAGGCACUAGCCAUCCAGGAGUGAAAUGCAUUCAGUGAAGACUGGUACAUUUCAGUGGUCCUGAUCUCUUGUUAGGUUUGACUUCAGACUGUAGGAGCACUGUGAGUUAGCAGGUGAUUUUUCUUCCUCUGGUUCAGUAUUGUAUCCUUAGUAGACUAUUUACAGAUGGUAAGGCAAACUGUCAAAAGAGCAAACGAUUCCUAAUUUUAAUGUAAAAAUUGUUUAGGAAUGAAGGAUUGAACACUGCUAAGGGGGAACCACUUUGAUUUGUGCAUGAGAUGAUUAAUCAGCAAUAUUCAGCGUAUGAUAACUGUCUCAGAAAUGAUGCAUUGACUUGGUAGAAGCUAUAGUUAGAAGGGAAAACCUUGACAAAGAAGGUGCUAACUUCUGAUGGUUUUUUUUUUGACCAUCAUGUCAUUGGAGGCAGUACAGGACAAAUAUACUGUAGCAUCUGAACUUAAGCAAACUAGGGAAGUUAAAACAGGAUGGAUGAAAUGUAUUGCAUCCAGCAAUCUUCCAUGCUCUUCCCUGAGAGUUAGCUGUCCUUAAAUCACCGGCAACUGAAUAGCUCAUCCAGCAAAUUAUGUCUGUCUAAAAUUUAGCUUUGUGUAUAACAGUAAGUUGAAAUCAGGAAUGGAUUGUGUUCAUAUGCAAGUUAUUCAGUAGCGCAAAGCACAGGUUUAAUAGAAUCCACGGGAGAAGUGUCACAAGCCAGCAGGGAUGGAUUUUUCGACUUUCAUCAAAUGAUUUUAGUCCACUUCCAAAGCAUGUAUCUGUUCUGCAGUCUUACAGUAGUAAAAUGGAGUAGUCAUUCUCAAACUGCAAUGUCUUUAUGAGCAAUAGUACAUAGGCAAUUCAAGAUGAUAAGCAAGUACCACUAAAAUGAUAAAGAAGUACUUCUCUGCAUGGAGGUUUAUAGCAUGGAGGAGCAACCUAAUUUAGGAACCCCAUUGUGUGGUGAUAGCUAACCUAUCUUUAGUUUAUUUCACUGACAAAUGAUCACGCAUGUGCAUGGCUGGUCCUGACUUUACGGUUUCCAGAAUCUGAGUUAGGUUGUUUAAAGCUUCAGUCUGUGGUGUAGAUAUUAAAAAAUAAAUAAAUCUAUUUACAAGGCAAGAUACGUAUAAAAAGAAUACGCGCAUCUAUUAUUCUUCAUAAGACUGUAAAGAAUAUAAAACCAAAUACAGUAAUGUGGUAUAUUAGGGUUUCACUUCUCAGUCUCACAAAGAGUAAAGGAUAGAGGCCAAAAUGAAGAACAACUGUGAUCCUGUAAGUAUGGGGGUUUGGAAGGGCUUGUUUAUAUUGUUCCAUUGGGAGUUGUUCAUUUUGCACUUAACUCUGUUAAGAGAGCACUCAACUACUUAUAAGUAUGCCCUUCCUUGGCCUAGUUUUCAUCUGAUUAGAGGCAAAAAGACCUCAUAUAUCUCACAAAUUGCUUCAUUUGAUAGGGUGAUUUCUUUUUCAAGCUCAAUUUCAGUAAAUAUACAUUCAUUUACUAUGUAUUAACAAAAAUGUUGAUUAUUCAUAUUAAUACUCACUACAGAUCCUCUGGUUAUCCAGAAAACUGUGGUAAGGUGAGUGGAAGAGUAAUGGAAUGGCUGCCGCUGGGGCUUAAAGAUAGGAAAUGUAAGUAAUGCUUAUUAGAUAACACACAGGUCUGUUGGAGUUAUGCAUAGAUCUGUCAUUCUGUCUCACUUGUGAGUUUCAAAUAUUUGUGAUCGGUCAAGAAUAAGCAAAUCGGUUUUAUCAUUAAUUAUUUUAUUUUAUGCACACUUUUCAGCAGAUGAGGAAGCACCGUCCUUGUCCAAAGUACUUAACAACAUCUGCCCUAAUAAAAGAAAGACUUAAGGCUAUGGCUUCAUGUUUCUUCUACUAGCAACUGAACAAAUAUAACCCAGUGUCUCAUUCUACCUGAUCUUAAUCCCUGUGUCCAGAGCUUACUGCUCUGUUAAUUGUAUCAGUUUGGUGUUCAGUACUCAUGCUACAAAAUUCAUCUGUGGAAUGAUGUUAUAAAAAUGCUGAAAAAAUAACCUGGGCUUUUUUUUUUUUGGUUGUAAUUUUUAACAAUAGCACUUUGCAGAUCUCCUUUAGAUGUAGCUACGGACACUGUUAAGUUGUUCCCUGUUCAAUUGUUUUUAUUUGCAGUGGGCAGUCAUUGAGGGAAUGUGGGGAGCGAGCAGCUGACUGAGGAAGGAAUUAGAACCUCAGCAUUAGCUCUGCCUUGCAGAAUUCUAACAUGAAACAAAAUUAAAAGGUAAUCAGUGUCUCAUCCUCACUUUUUUAAUUUUUUAACAGUAGCCAACUUUGUAACAUAGACUGAGAAGAUGCUCUCCAUUUCAUCAAGAAUGAAUUUAGCCUAUGCAAGCUAUUUGGCUUUGUGAGACAGAUGAGUCUGUGUUUCAAGGAGGACCAUUCUAAUGCAAGAUGCCUAUAAAAUAUUAAUCUUUUAAUAUAUUUUAAUAGAAGUUUUAUUAGAAAUUAGGCUACCCAUCCCAAGACUGGUCUACUUCCAAUAUAAAAAUAGAGUACAAUGUAUUGGAAACUACCACAUACUUUGUACGUAUUUAAUCAGUUCACUGUGAGAAGAGAGGUAAGUGGUUGUAUAAGCCUAGAAAGUGAUCAUGAGUUGCCUCCCUGAAUUUUUUGUAGUAGCUGGGUUCUUGGUGCAAUGAUCCACUGUCUUGUGCCCAUGCAGUGGAACAUAGAGGGAUUUUUCAGUUGAAAGGAGAUCUGCCUACAGAAAAGGUGGAAGGAUAAAUUUUGUUUUUUUCCAGAAACCUUCUAAAGACUGGAAAAACGUUUAAGUGUAAAGGAGAAGGGAGGAGCACUAAUUCAACAUAAUAACUAAAGGCAUUCUGAACAACAGCUGUGUAAAACAGGCUUGAGGGGCAGCGAUCAAGGCAAUUAGUAUCUCUUCCUCGUAUCCUUCAGUUCUGGAACCGAAUGUCCAUGCAGAAAUAAAGUAAGGCAUAUUAGAAACACUGUCUAUACAAAGUAUCACCAAUAGGUUGGGAGAAUAUAGCUAUGACAGUAUUGUGGGUGGGGAAACUGAGGCACUGAGUUUGAUGCAAGUUGGCAGAGGUGCUCAUCUGUGUUGUUGGACCUCUAACUUUCUCUGUAAUCCACUGAGUGAGGAACAGAACCAAGUCUCUUACCCUCUCCAAUAUGGAGUAGAUAAUAACCUAGUUUUGGUUCCUGCUUCAGCUAUUAACAGCACAGGCUUGGAUCAGAUAGCAAAGAUACCCCUUAGUGGUUUUAGCUCUUACUGACUCUUAGGCAAUGAGAGAUCCCAUAACAUUCAUUUCUACAGCCUUGUUCUGACCAAUUCAGAGUUGAUAAUGAACCUCCAUGGUGUUAUAGGAUACAUUCAGUCCCUCAGUCAGCUCUUGCCUUUUAAUUCUGGAAAAAUGAGCUCCACACAGUUAUUUUUCUAAGUCAUCUAUUUCAAAUAUAAGAGGUUCUGUGUCUACAAAAGGCUGUUUACAAGCUGUAUGGUUCUUCAUUGUCUUGUGCCACUGUGAAAAAAGAAAAGGGGUACAGAACUAAUUCUUUCCUUUUUGCUUCAACAGUGGUAUCAGUUAGGUAUUAAAAUGGCCAGAUUUGUAAAUGUAGUCAGGAAACAGCAAAUCAAAGCAGUUACUAUCAGAAGAACUGGAUUUCUGAAAGACCUUCAGUGUGCCAUGCAGGACGCGGACCAAUGAGUUAAGACAGGAUGGCAUAUCCUUGAGAGCAGGUGCAUUGGGAAUGUACUUGUUAUUCAAGAGUUUAAAUGGGAAAUGGCCAUUUCUCAUUUCUACAUAACUGCUAAACGCUUAAAAAUCUGUCCAAGCUGUUACGAAAGCUUAGUCCUUUGAAAGCCCCUUAGAAAUAGUCCUCCAGGUUGUGAAUAUUUCUGAAAAGUCAGAUUGCUUCAAUUAAAUGCCUAAAUGAGAAUUAUAAUCCUUUAAAUAUCUGAUCAAAAGAGACUGGCAACUGCACCUUUUCACUCUGUGGAAAACCAGCCAAGCUCAUAUUACAAAAAUAAGCUACUGUCCACUUGAUCUGGCUGCAAAGCACAUUUUCAAUAAGUUUAUGCUCUAACAAGCUGUAUCAGUUUCAUCUCAGUAGAUCUGAUGGUUAUUGAACAGUGUUCAAUGUUCUGGAGGGUGCCAGGCACAUAAUUGUUUUUACAACACUGUAAAAUGGAUCAGACUGAAAUUAGUGUCACUCAGCAGAAUCACUUUCCUUCCCUUUAAAUUACUUAAUCUGAUGAUUAAUCAAACAGCAAAUGAAGUUUUGACACUGCCCUUCAGCUAAGGGCAAGUACAGGUUCAGUUGUCUUCACUUCAUUUGGCUGUGGAGUAGUAUUUUACAAUAUCUGCACUUGUACAUGAGCAACUUUGCUGCUACUCAUUCACGGGGGGGAAGGAGAGGGGGUGAAGCAGGAUGGUGCUGUCUUUUGAGUGCUUCACACUUAAACAUCAAAUUUGCAAAAGAAGGAAGCUGAUAUCAUUUUUUAUUUUAAUUCCUGUGAAAUGGGAGAUAGCAAAGAGGAGUUGCAGGAAAGAUAGGGAAAAGGGUAUUGCUGAAGGAAUACUCUCACAAGAAUAGGCUGGCAGCUUCAUCGAUUAUAAAGCACAGAGAGGUUCUCACCCCUCCUUUGGUGCCACUUGUCCUCAGGAACUGAGAUGUAAAUGAGUUGUAUAGCUAGGAUAUCCUAUUGUAUAAAAAUAUCAAAUAGCAUCUCCUUGAUUUCUCUGGUAUUUAUUGACUUCUUGCUGAGAUAAACUAAGCUUCUGUUGCUCUGCCCACUUUCAAUUGUACAUUCUGGAAACAAUUCCAGUAAAUUUCUCUUUCUUGAAGGCUUUCAUGUCUCACUGUAUGUAACUAUUGCUUUGUUAUGAUCACUCACUGUAACAGGUUUAUUAUUUUUCACUGUGUCACAUUUUGUAUGCAUGCAGUUUUCAGUUUAUCAGUAUGCUUUUAGAACAUCAUCUGGCUGAUGAGUUCUAUCAAUAACAUAUGGGCAAAGUAAAAUGAUCAUAAGCUAUAAUUAUUAUAUACAGCAAUUCUGUCAACUAAAGGCUUCUGAGAAAUGAUGUAGGCUAGAAGAUAGCUGUAGUUUCAAUACUGUAUAAUCCCUUUACAAUAAUGCAAUCAUGCAAAAUGAGAUUAAAGUGAUUAUCUGCAUGUGAAAAUUGCAUCAGUUUCUAUUCAUAUUGCUUUUCUGCUAGCGUGGAUUAUAUUUGUCCUCUGGUGGCCUCAGUUCAAAAGCUAGUGGCAUAACAAGCCUCAGCAUCCAUUUUUCCUGCUUCCCAGAAAGAACUGGUGCAUUAAAGGUAUUUUUGUCUGUUCAGGUUGAGUUCAGAUAUCUUCUUAGACAUCUGGUUUGCCAAGGCUAAGCUGCUGCAGGUCAGUCCUCCGCCAUCCUACUAGGGGCUAAUCAGUUAAUACAAUUUUCAUACAGUCCUAUCAACAUGGGACUUGCCCUGCCUGGUGCCAGACACCAAACUGUAAGUUGCUGCAGUCCAGCACAAGCAAUAUGGAUAACCUACUGCAGGUUUAAGGUGGGAUACGCCCACCUAACAAAAGGAAGUAUGUGUACCACCAGAAGACAAACCCACAUCAGCUUUAGAACAAGUAUAAUUAGGAACAAAAGCAGCAUAAGAGAGGCUUAACACAGGCCAGGAGUCAAAACAUUUGCUCAGCAUUUUUCAGGGGUGUGUAAUUCCAGCUAUUAGCCUGUGUAAGAAGGUGCUAGUCUCCGCUUGUGUUCAUGAAUGAGCUGUGCUGUUCUCAAGGCAUGUCUCCUGUGUUGGGAACAUGUGAUUCAGGUUUAAUUAGUUCCAGCGCAUAUGGGAUGGCUUGUUUCAUUACAACAUAUAACUGAAGAUUUAUAUUCUAGCAGAGACAGGGAGGGAUGUAGCUUGUGGAGUGCUCUGACUCUUUUCUGAUGAAACUGUUCUAGAUUUCCUUCCCUGCAGCAUAGCCAGAAAAGGCAUUGUGUCAGCCAAGGUCUAAAAUCCCUGGGAUAUUAUACCCAAGAAGUGUAGGGGCCAAGGUGAGGUAAUACAGAUAAAAACCCUUUAUCUGGAUACCAAUAUUAUGGUAUGAGGAAGAAGUAUUUUAUAUGUUUUAAGUAUAUUUAAGUAUACUUAUAUAAUUUUAAGUAAAUUAUAUAUUUUUUAUAUUUCAGUAUUUUAUAUUUUUUUCUACCUUUAGUAAAAAUAUGUGAACUCAAGAGAAGAAAUUAUUACAGUAAGCCAGUCAUGAGGAAACAGUAUUUACUUCUUAAUCUAUUUUCUUAUGCAACAAUCUAUAGUGUUUCUGACAAGUUUAAUAGUGAAUGAACUGUGAAGCCACUGAUGGCAAUAUCACACCCUGUUUUUAAGAGCUGGUGCCUGGAUACAGAAAUAUAUUAUUGCAUUAAGUCAUACGGGUGGUAACAUUGCUAACAACCACUGAGUACCAAAAAGCAACAUUUAUUGGUCCUGGCAUUCAUAAAAUGAUCCAGCUCUGCCUGAUAUUUUGUAGUACGUGACUAGUCAGCAGGAGUUGUACGUAAUGACAGUGGGAAGGCAACAUUAAUUGCCAGCUGUCAGAAGAGUACUCUGAUGUGGUGUACACACUACACAAGGAGAAAACUCAGAUCUGCCUCUCCGUCUGGCAAAUAUAAAAUGAUUUAGGCACAGGUAUUGAAAAGUCUAUGCUAUCUCGGAAAUGGGAAGAAAAUGACUAGCCAGGUACAGUCUCCUACUGCGUGUUCUCAACUGUAUGCUCAAUGUGUACUUCUUCUGCUGUAAAGAAACUGUUCUGGGCAAUGUUGGAAGGAAAUUUGACAAAGGGAAUGAAUUAAACAUUUUUUUGAAGAACUUUCUAUUGUGGCAGUGAAUAACUCUGGCUUUGUGAAUCUUUUUUUUUUUUUUCCCCUAUGCUAUGCUUCAUAAAUCAAAGUUAUUCCCUGAUUGCAUUUAUCAGCAGCAAGGACUGGACUAACAUGAGAAGGAAGAACAUAGCUGGAGACCACCGAAAUGGUCCAAGACAUGUUCCCCAGGGAGGCUGCGGGAUAUCACUGAAGGGAGGUGGAUGGCAGCUUGGGUAUGCAUGACUGCAUGUUCAGAGCUGGGCAUAUUAAAACUACAGCUUCUUUGAAAAUCUGUGCUCUGGGUUUUUCAAUGUCCAGACUUUUAAGAAUAUCAUGCAAGCUAAAAAAUCAGAAUUCUGAAAAUGAGGAAUUUUUGAGCAAGAAUCACACUGUGUAGACAACUCCAGACAGCACAUAAGCACCUAGCACAAAGACACUGAGAAAUGCUUCUGGGUAAGAGAAAUGUAUUGGUCAGUGGAAAUAAAGAAAAGUACCUUUGGUUCAGACAGAUAUAAACAGUAGAAAAAAUGUCCAGUUUGUGUAUAACUUUUUUAAUAUCGUGCAUGCAUAUGUUUUAACUUUUUACUGUUUAUUGUGCUUUAACCUGCUUCAAUUUUUACAUCUUGAUUGUUUGAUAAAUAGGAAAUAAAAUUGAUUUUCCUUGCUGAAGGACAAGAAGCUGUAGAGACUACCUCGAAAUAAAAUGUGAACGGAUAUAAAUCGGGUUGGGAAAGGUUGCUGAAAAAUGCGUUAUUCCAUUUCCAUUAAGGUUUCUUGAGGACAUGAAUGAUUCAAUGGAGAAAGUUUUGAGUUCUUCCUACCAGGCCAAAGGGUAUCCCCUUUCUUCACCUCCCAGGAUCUCAAGGACCCGGACCCCCAUAGUUUUCUACAUGGUAAAACUACUGGGAAGAAGAAAAAGGAAAGAAAAU